CCAUCCACCCAUCCAUCCAUAUUUCCACCUAUCCAUCCACCCACCCACCUACCCAUUCAACUUUGGGUUGUAGGUGGGGACCACUAAUUUCUAGCAUUUACCAAUUUCUAUGGUUUCCCCAGCCUGAAUGAGAGAGUUAAGGGGUGCUACCCACCUUGUAUUAUUCUUACCUGGAAUACUUAAAGGAGCUAGUAAAGGUCUUUAAUUCAUUUGGCUUUAGUCCAUGCUUUGCAAAUUGAUUUUACUAUAGAUUCAAGUUAUUUCUGUGGUAUGAGAUAUUUUGGUGUUAAAAUUGAUUUUUAAAUAAUGUAUAAUAAUAAAUCAUUAAUGUUGUAGCGUUUAAAAAAGGCUUCACCAUUGGAGCUUUCUUUUCCCCUUCACACUUCACUUCUGACUAUUCCUUUUGUUUCUCCUCACUUCAGGGUCUUUGGCAUGGGAGAGUUAAUGUUUGAAGCUCUUGGAAACUGGCACUUUUUUUUUACAGGUCUUUUACAGACAGUGAGAGCAUUUGACUUGCCUGGUUUUAUCCCCAACCUGAACUUGCGUUACAAGGAUUUGUUACUAACAGACACCUUGUAGCGAAGGCUUCCUCUUUACCUCCAGACACCACCCCCUGAGCUUCCAGGAGCUCUUUGUCCUCCCCUGAAUGUCUGGUCCCACGUAUACACACACAGACACUACCGGGGGUGUGUACACGUUGCUGUUUCACCAGAGGCUAGAAUGAUGUCCUCAUCAGGUUUAGCUUUCACUUAAAGCAUGUAAAGAUGGGAAGAUAACCAAGGAGGAGUGGAUAUUACAGUAUUUGCCAAUUAGAACACUCAGAGCCAUGAGGCCCUUGAGCUCUCCUCUGAUUCCCUACAAAUGACAGCCCCUGGCUCCGACAGGAGGAGUUGGGAUGACCUCUGUUUUGGGUUGUUAGAGGGCAGCAGUAGCUUUCACUGAUUCCCCAAAGCCAAGAAAUACUUUUAGCAGGUGAAAUGUCCUGUUGAUAUCAGGAAAGAUGGAUGGCAUUACCUGCUAUCUGUUAAUCAGGCGCUAGAGCGCCCAGGGCCAGCAGGUUCUUUACACCUCCCACUUCCUGGGACACUGCCUUGAUGCACUGCUUCAGAAGCAGUGUAGGAAAAUGUGAAAAUGCCUCCUGAGUAUCCCUGGAAGUCCAGCUGAUGCAGAAAGGGCCUUCUGAUACACUGGGCCAGCUGAAUCGACGACUGUCACCUACAGGUUCUUACAAUGUAUGGGGCUGAACAUUAUUCACUCUGAUGCUAAUGCAAAUCAUGGGAAGAGUGACCCAGCCCUGUGCUUCUGUCUUCCUAGAAUUCACUGAUAGAUUCUCAGGCUCCCGCCUGAUCCUUGAUUGUUCCUGAGAGCUGCUCCCAUGUGCUUCGCUGCCCUUGGGCCAGGGCUAUCCAGAGGACGCCUGCAGUCUCCACUGGGCCCCAGCUGCAGACCGGGUGUGAGGAGCGCCACUGCAUGGUCAGUGGGGCGGAGGACGACUCUCGGAGGAGAAGACAAACAGCCACUCUUCUGAGUAUAUUCUGCCCCUCGAAUGAUGGAGCCACAAUCUGAACCCAAGAACUUGAUGCUGUUUGACAAGAAAAUAGGUGCACUAAUGAUUUUAGCUUCACUGCCUGAGCAGGGACGAAAUAAAAAAUAUCUCUGACAUAGAAA